CCUACGGGGGGCAGCAGUGGGGAAUAUUGGCCAAUGGGGGGAACCCUGAUCCAGCCAUGCCGCGUGUGUGAAGAAGGCCCUCGGGUUGUAAAGCACUUUCAGUGAGGAAGAACGCCUGGUGGUUAAUACCCAUCAGGAAAGACAUCACUCACAGAAGAAGCACCGGCUAACUCCGUGCCAGCAGCCGCGGUAAUACGGAGGGUGCGAGCGUUAAUCGGAAUUACUGGGCGUAAAGCGCGCGUAGGUGGCUUGAUAAGCCGGUUGUGAAAGCCCCGGGCUCAACCUGGGAACGGCAUCCGGAACUGUCAAGCUAGAGUGCAGGAGAGGAAGGUAGAAUUCCCGGUGUAGCGGUGAAAUGCGUAGAGAUCGGGAGGAAUACCAGUGGCGAAGGCGGCCUUCUGGACUGACACUGACACUGAGGUGCGAAAGCGUGGGUAGCAAACAGGAUUAGAUACCCCAGUAGUC
rnacentral:rRNA from 1 species